GUGAUAUAAAAGCCUUCGGGUUCCAUUUGGUGACAAACAAUAAGCUCACGUCCUGUAUUGAGAAGAAAUCAUGAGAGGUCACCUGGUCUUCCUGCUGCUGGCACUGGUGGCCAUGCCCACCUAUUCCCAGAAUGGAGAGGAGGAAGAGGAAGAAGAAGAGGAGGAAGAAGGAGAGGAGGAAGAGGAGGAAGAAGAAGAAGAGGAGGAAGAGGAGGAAUACGAAGAGGAGGAAGAAGAAGAGGAGGAGGAGGAGGAAAAAUAAGAGGAGGAAUAGGAAGAAAAAGGAACAGGAAGAGGAUAGACAAAGAAGAAAAAAAGAUGGAUGGUCGUAAUAGGACAGGAUGAAGCACAGGAUGAUGAGGUGACUGGAACAAUUUUUGGGUGUUGAGGUGUGAGGACAACAAACAGGCUCAUUAUUCCGAAAGAAUGAAAUGAUUUUUCAGUAGGUAAUAAUUCAAUCAUAGAAGACUCUAGCAAAGUGUCAAGAUUUAUUUUUCCUCUUACUCAAUUUGUCUCAAUCAAAAGGUCAAAUUGUGCUUCAUAAUAAAUGGUACGUAUUUUAUAAUCUAUGAAGUUGAUUUCUGUUUGUGUGUUUAAACAUAUGAGCGUUUACAGUGUUGAGAGUGCAUUGUUCCACUGCAGCGAAACGAGACGAGUCAUUGGAUGAAUGCUGAGCUUCUCCCGCCCAUUCUAUGGCUAUUUGUUUAUGAAAAUAUGAAUGUGCAUGUGUCAUUAUAGGAAGAAAAUGCAACAAGUGAGAUAGCGAUAUUUUUAAAAUACAUUUUUAUUUUGAAAUAAUAACUUUCCCAGGGUGUUUGGCUAUAAAAUGUUUUAUUUUUUUUUUGUUCUUUGAAAGUUUUUUAAUUGCUCUUGAUAACAUUCUUUCAUAGCCCGAAAUCCACAAAAUGUGAGAUUGGCGAUUGCCAUUUUGUUUUUUGGCUACUUUAUACUAUAGUCUGUACUGCAUUUGCAUGUGCAACUGAUACAAAAAUAAAUACAUAGGUUUUUUUCAUUUUAUUUUAUUUUAUUUUAUCUUUUUUUUUUUUUUUUUUUUUUUUUUUUUUU